rnacentral:rRNA from 1 species
AGAGUUUGAUCAUGGCUCAGAUUGAACGCUGGCGGCAUGCUUUACACAUGCAAGUCGAGCGGCAGCGCGGGGGCAACCCUGGCGGCGAGCGGCGAACGGGUGAGUAAUACAUCGGAACGUGUCCCGUAGUGGGGGAUACCCGGCGAAAGCCGGACUAAUACCGCAUAUGCUCUACGGAGGAAAAGUGGGGGACCCGCAAGGCCUCACGCUAUGGGAGCGGCCGAUGUCCGAUUAGCUUGUUGGUGAGGUAACGGCUUACCAAGGCGACGAUCGGUAGCUGGUCUGAGAGGAUGAUCAGCCACACUGGGACUGAGACACGGCCCAGACUCCUACGGGAGGCAGCAGUGGGGAAUUUUGGACAAUGGGGGCAACCCUGAUCCAGCCAUGCCGCGUGCGGGAAGAAGGCCUUCGGGUUGUAAACCGCUUUUGUCCGGAAAGAAAAGGCCACUCCUAAUACGGGUGGUUCUUGACGGUACCGGAAGAAUAAGCACCGGCUAACUACGUGCCAGCAGCCGCGGUAAUACGUAGGGUGCGAGCGUUAAUCGGAAUUACUGGGCGUAAAGCGUGCGCAGGCGGUUCGUGAUGUCUGAUGUGAAAGCCCCGGGCUUAACCUGGGAAUUGCAUUGGAAACUAGCGGGCUGGAGUGUGGCAGAGGGGGGUGGAAUUCCCGUGUAGCAGUGAAAUGCGUAGAGAUGUGGAGGAACACCGAUGGCGAAGGCAGCCCCCUGGGCUAACACUGACGCUCAUGCACGAAAGCGUGGGGAGCAAACAGGAUUAGAUACCCUAGUAGUCC